CUGCGUGCGCCCCCAGCCUGGCUCUGCCCUGGCUGGAUCUGCUGCAGGACCAGCUUUGGGAAAAACUGUCAAGGGGAAAAUCGUGAUCUUUCCCACCUCCUGGCCCUCCUGGGGGUUAUCAGAUCUGCAAAGGGCAAGCCCCCGAGCGAAGGGGGUGGGUGCAGGACAGACCUCGGUCCUCCAAAGAGGGCCUGUAACAGAAGACAGAGUGGGAACCAAAAGGUCAGGGCUAGAUGGUGAACUGACAGAGGCUGCUGCUCCUCUCCCUGACCCCAGGCCUGCAGAUGCCAAGGAGGCCAGAAGAAGGAAGGAAAGAAGGCGGCAGAUACAAGUGAGCUUCUCAGGUCUGGCUCUUCUGAUGCUUCUGACGGGCUCUGGGACCCCAUGGGGGGCCCUCUGUGCCUCAGAAUCCUCAUCCAUGCCAUGGGAGGGGCGCCUGCCCCAGCCUACCCCACAGCUGAGCCCAUUUGACGUUCUCUCUCCUUCCCCCACGGGAGACCUCUCAGACCCUCCAGUAGGAGAAAACUCGAAGCACUGAAGGGCGCAAGAGCUGGGAGCCGAAGAUGAGGUACCAUCUUUCCUCCCCAACUCUCAAGAAUCUACCAGAGAAAUGACUGGCAAGGAGGUUCCCCAAUGUGGAGGGCCCCUCUCUCUAGCAGGAUGGCAAGUUUCUAACAGAGGCAGGAGAUUUGCCAACACUGAAGUCACUGGAUAACUAUUGAAGAUGAUAUCAAAGCUGAUCGGCAUACAGAGGACCAACCUGGACAACACGACUGUGGGCUUCACAUUUCCAUGAAUUAAUUUAAGCAAAAUAAAAGGGAUAGAUGUUUCUUGUUCUCUUUGUGG
rnacentral:lncRNA from 1 species